UUAAUGUAGCUUAAUAUUAAAGCAAAGCACUGAAAAUGCUUAGAUGGACAAUUUUGCCCCAUAAACA
rnacentral:tRNA from 1 species